rnacentral:rRNA from 1 species
GACGAACGCUGGCGGCGUGCUUAACACAUGCAAGUCGAACGGAAAGGCCCUGCUUUUGUGGGGUGCUCGAGUGGCGAACGGGUGAGUAACACGUGAGUAACCUGCCCUUGACUUUGGGAUAACUUCAGGAAACUGGGGCUAAUACCGGAUAGGAGCUCCUGCUGCAUGGUGGGGGUUGGAAAGUUUCGGCGGUUGGGGAUGGACUCGCGGGUUAUCAGCUUGUUGGUGGGGUAGUGGCUUACCAAGGCUUUGACGGGUAGCCGGCCUGAGUGGGUGACCGGCCACAUUGGGACUGAGAGACGGCCCAGACUCCUACGGGAGGCAGCAGUGGGGAAUAUUGAACAAUGGGCGGAAGCCGGAUGCAGCAACGCCGCGUGCGGGAUAACGGCCUUCGGGUUGUAAACCGCUUUCGCCUGUGACGAAGCGUGAGUGACGGUAAUGGGUAAAGAAGCACCGGCUAACUACGUG